GACAGAGGGUGCAAACGUUGUUCGGAAUUACUGGGCGUAAAGCGCGUGUAGGCUGCUCUGCAAGUCGGAUGUGAAAGCCCUGGGCUCAACCUAGGAAGUGCAUUCGAAACUGCAGAGCUGGAGUCCUGGAGAGGAAGGCGGAAUUCUCGGUGUAGAGGUGAAAUUCGUAGAUAUCGAGAGGAACACCGGCGGCGAAGGCGGCCAUCUGGACGAGGACUGACGCUGAGAUGCGAAAGCGUGGGGAGCAAACAGG
rnacentral:rRNA from 1 species